rnacentral:rRNA from 1 species
CCCUUCGGGGUGAAGCUCGUGGAACGAGCGGCGGACGGGUGAGUAACACGUGGGCAACCUGCCUGUAAGAUCGGAAUAACCCCGGGAAACCGGGGCUAAUGCCGGGUAAUACUUUCUUUCGCAUGAAGGAAAGUUGAAAGAUGGCUUCUCGCUAUCACUUACAGAUGGGCCCGCGGCGCAUUAGCUAGUUGGUGAGGUAACGGCUCACCAAGGCGACGAUGCGUAGCCGACCUGAGAGGGUGAUCGGCCACACUGGGACUGAGACACGGCCCAGACUCCUACGGGAGGCAGCAGUAGGGAAUCUUCCGCAAUGGACGAAAGUCUGACGGAGCAACGCCGCGUGAACGAUGAAGGUCUUCGGAUCGUAAAGUUCUGUUGUUAGGGAAGAACAAGUACCGUGCGAAUAGAGCGGUACCUUGACGGUACCUAACGAGGAAGCCCCGGCUAACUACGUGCCAGCAGCCGCGGUAAUACGUAGGGGGCAAGCGUUGUCCGGAAUUAUUGGGCGUAAAGCGCGCGCAGGCGGUUCCUUAAGUCUGAUGUGAAAGCCCACGGCUCAACCGUGGAGGGUCAUUGGAAACUGGGGAACUUGAGGACAGAAGAGGAGAGUGGAAUUCCACGUGUAGCGGUGAAAUGCGUAGAUAUGUGGAGGAACACCAGUGGCGAAGGCGACUCUCUGGUCUGUUUCUGACGCUGAGUGCGAAAGCGUGGGUAGCAAACAGGAUUAGAUACCCUGGUAG